UGGGGAAUAUUGGACAAUGGGCGCAAGCCUGAUCCAGCCAUGCCGCGUGAGUGAUGAAGGCCCUAGGGUUGUAAAGCUCUUUCACCGGUGAAGAUAAUGACGGUAACCGGAGAAGAAGCCCCGGCUAACUUCGUGCCAGCAGCCGCGGUAAUACGAAGGGGGCUAGCGUUGUUCGGAUUUACUGGGCGUAAAGCGCACGUAGGAGGACUUUUAAGUCAGUGGUGAAAUCCCGGGGCGCAACCCCGGAACUGCCUUUGAUACUGGAAGUCUUGAGUAUGGUAGAGGUGAGUGGAAUUCCGAGUGUAGAGGUGAAAUUCGUAGAUAUUCGGAGGAACACCAGUGGCGAAGGCGGCUCACUGGACCAUUACUGACGCUGAGAUGCGAAAGCGUGGGGAGCAAACAGG
rnacentral:rRNA from 1 species